GACGAACGCUGGCGGCGUGCUUAACACAUGCAAGUCGAACGGAAAGGCCCUGCUUGCAGGGUACUCGCGUGGCGAACGGGUGAGUAACACGUGGGUGAUCUGCCCUGCACUUCGGGAUAAGCCUGGGAAACUGGGUCUAAUACCGGAUAGGAGACAUUUUUAGUGUGAUGGUUGGAAAGUUUUUUAGGUGUAGGAUGAGCUCGCGGCCUAUCAGCUUGUUGGUGGGGUAAUGGCCUACCAAGGCGGCGACGGGUAGCCGGCCUGAGGGGGUGGACGGCGACCUUGGGACUGAGGGACGGCCCAGACUCCUACGGUCGGCAGCAGUGCGGACUCUUGCACAAUGGGCGCCAGCCUGAUGCAGCGGCGCCGCGUGGGGUAUGACGGCCUUCGGGUUGUAAACUCCUUUCGCUAGGGACGAAGCUUUUUGUGACGGUACCUAGAUAGAAAGCCCCGGCUAACUACGUG
rnacentral:rRNA from 1 species